rnacentral:rRNA from 1 species
UACGAAGGGGGCGAGCGUUUGUUCGGAAUUACUGGGCGUAAAGGGCGCGCAGGCGGUCCUUCAAGUCAGAUGUGAAAGCCCCGGGCUCAACCUGGGAACUGCAUUUGAGACUGGAGGACUUGAGGACGGGAGAGGAGAGUGGAAUCCCCAGUGUAGAAGGUGAAAUUCGUAGAUAUUGGGAAGAACACCGAUGGCGAAGGCAGCUCUCUGGACCGUUACUGACGCUGAGGCGCGAAAGCGUGGGGAGCAAACAGGG